rnacentral:rRNA from 1 species
AUUGAACGCUGGCGGCAGGCCUAACACAUGCAAGUCGAACGGUAACAGGAAGAAUCUUGCUUCUUUGCUGACGAGUGGCGGACGUGUGAGUUAUGUCUGGGACACUGCCUGAUGGAGGGGGUUAACUACUGGAAACGGUAGCUAAUACCGCAUAACGUCGCAAGACCAAAGAUGGGGAGCUUCGGGCCUCUUGCCUUCGGCUGUGCCCAGAUGGGAUUAGCUAGUAGGUGGGGUAACGGCUCACCUAGGCGACGAUCCCUAGCUGGUCUGAGAGGAUGACCAGCCACACUGGAACUGAGACACGGUCCAGACUCCUACGGGAGGCAGCAGUGGGGAAUAUUGCACAAUGGGCGAAAGCCUGAUGCAGCCAUGCCGCGUGUAUGAAGAAGGCCUUCGGAUUGUAAAGUACUUUCAGCGGGGAGGAAGGGAGUAAAGUUAAUACCUUUGCGCAUUGACGUUACCCGCAGAAGAAGCACCGGCUAACUCCGUG